rnacentral:hammerhead_ribozyme from 1 species
GCAUUGCUGAGAAGUCCCAUAAUAGAACGAAACGGCCGUCCAGUGC